CGGGUGAGUAAUGUCUGGGAAACUGCCUGAUGGAGGGGGAUAACUACUGGAAACGGUAGCUAAUACCGCAUGACGUCGCAAGACCAAAGAGGGGGACCUUAGGGCCUCUUGCCAUCGGAUGUGCCCAGAUGGGAUUAGCUAGUAGGUGGGGUAACGGCUCACCUAGGCGACGAUCCCUAGCUGGUCUGAGAGGAUGACCAGCCACACUGGAACUGAGACACGGUCCAG
rnacentral:rRNA from 1 species